UGAGUAUAUAUAUAUAUAUACUCAAGAGAGCAAAGAAGCUGUAGAUAUAGAACUAACUUUGUAGUUUUAAUUCAAAUAAUUCACUGUUCCAAAUCUGAGUUUUGGAAAACUAAUUCAAACAGGGGAACUGCAUCAAAUCAAUCAAAAAAUGGGCAGAUUUAUGGGUUUACAUGUGGUGAUGAGUUUGAAAUAAAGGAGAUUGGGAGUAGCCUUUUGGGCAUAUGGAUAUCAACGUGUAUUUCUUGGAGGUUCUACUCUUCAUGAUGGAAGCAUGAUGAAAAUUAAUAUUUGGGUUCUAUAUGAUGGCGCACCAUAGUGGAACGGCUUGCGAGAAAGCAAUUAGCAAGCUUUGUGCAUAAUUGCACCGUGCUGGGAUGUUGACGUUGUUCUAUAUUGUAUGACUUUUAUUUAUUAAUGCUAUAAUUUUUGUCCAAAAUUUGUUGUUCGGUAACUUUAUGAUUUGUGGAUGUGAAUGUUGCUUUUACAAUAUUGAAUUUCUUUUGUUAAUGUAAAAGCAACAUUCACAUUAGCAAAUUAAAAAGUCAUUGUACAUCAAUAUUUUAGGGUAAAAUGAAAGCAUUAAAAUAAAUAAUAGUCCAACAACAUAGAACAACAUCAACAUCCCAUCACAGUGCAGUUAUGCACAAAGCUCCCUGAUUGCUUUCUCGCAAGUUGAUUCCAAUGUGUUGCACCUUCAUCUAGGACCUCAAACAUUAACUUUCAUCAUGCUUCCACCAUGAAGAGUGGAACCUCAAAGAACUAACUAAUAGUUGAUCUCCACAUGCCCAAACAGCUAGUCCUUAUUCGUGUAUUUAGGUGACUUGCUCAGGAAGUCUUCCAAUGGUAAAUAGAAUUGUUCUCUAAUGAGAAUGGUGGGUGAACUAGUUCUCCUCUUUGAGUUCGUGGAUUAAAAUUCCUUUGAAUUUUAUCAAUGACUUUAUUACUAUUGUAUUGAUUCCUCAUAGACUUAUCAAUCAUCUUCUCUACCUAAUUCAUAUUUAUUUUUUUCUUUUC